CAUACACACACGCUCAUAUCGAUAGGAAGAGAUAGCAAAGAAACAAAGAAAGAGAGAGAGAGAAGAUACUUUAACUUUUGACACCCCCUCGUUUGGUGGAAAAGCCUGUUUACUCUCUUUUGAUUUCAGUUGUGUCUAGGGACACUACGUGAACAAAGAGGGGGGGAAUUUCCGAGAGUAGAACGUGGCAAUCAAAAACAAGGCUGGGUGGAGUUUACUUUUUUUGU
rnacentral:ribozyme from 1 species